rnacentral:rRNA from 1 species
ACGGGAGGCAGCAGUGGGGGAUAUUGCACAAUGGGGGAAACCCUGAUGCAGCGACGCCGCGUGAGUGAAGAAGUAUUUCGGUAUGUAAAGCUCUAUCAGCAGGGAAGAAAAUGACGGUACCUGACUAAGAAGCACCGGCUAAAUACGUGCCAGCAGCCGCGGUAAUACGUAUGGUGCAAGCGUUAUCCGGAUUUACUGGGUGUAAAGGGAGCGUAGACGGACGGCUAAGUCUGAUGUGAAAGGUGAGGGCUCAACCCUUAAACUGCAUUGGAAACUGGUCAUCUGGAGUGUCGGAGAGGUAAGUGGAAUUCCUAGUGUAGCGGUGAAAUGCGUAGAUAUUAGGAGGAACACCAGUGGCGAAGGCGGCUUACUGGACGAUAACUGACGUUGAGGCUCGAAAGCGUGGGGAGCAAACAGGAUUAGAUACCCUGGUA